CGCAUGAGGAGCUUAAAAGAAAAGGAGAGAAAGAAUUCCUGAUAGAUUAAGAGCAAAAGAAAGAUAGAGUGUGCAAAGCAGAGUUUGCGAGGGAGAGAUGGAAAGCCACGCGAGCACUCUCAUAGCCAGCCCACCGUCACAGAAACAGCAGGAGCAGCAUUCUUAUCCUCAUCUCUUUUUCUUGUUUAUUCUCCAAUCUCUCUCUUUUCUCUGCCCCCCCCCUCCAAUGUGUGUCGGUGUUGCAGGCAGCUAAGAUGCUCGCUCUGCCCCCUCCCUUUGUCCUUCAGUGGGAACGUGAAUGUACUGCUGACGCACUCCUCUCAGCUGCUCAGCCAGCCUAAGAGCAGUGCAUUGGUUUGAUGCAGUGUUCCUGUGUAUUAACACAUUCAACCUCCCCAUCUCUCCCACUCCCUCCCUUCACUGUAAGUAUCUUCACCUCUCUUUCUCUACCCCCAUUCCACCCCUCAAUUUCUCACAUGUUCUGCCCUCUUGCCUUCUUUCGUCACUCAAACUCUCCCCUGCUCAUUCCUCGCCACUCUAACUUGCGGUCUGUCUGGAAGCUCCCUCUCUUCAGCCAAUUAUUUAAAUUGUUGCUCCCAAUUCCAAUACAUAAAAAAAAAAAGUCAGACUUCAGGUCGAGAGAUGUUUCACAUUUCCUGUUUUUUUUUUUUUUCUCUCAAACUUGAGUUGACCAGUUAACCAGAGUUUUCUACAGUGGCGAUGCUGCUCUUCUGCACCUCCUGAAAGUCAGUCUGCUGUGAAUGCGCCUGAUGCAGAAGAAACAAAAUGAAAAGAAGAAGGAAAAAAACAUAGUUGUUCCUUAAUUUCUCAGCUGUCUAGAAUUUAUUAUGUGAAUUUAUUAUGUGAGUGAGGGGGUCAGAGGGUCUGUGACAUCAGAGGAUGCUGAAAAUGCUGACUUUGCUCCUCCGCUGGGCAGUCUUCUCUGUAGGGAGGAGAAAGAUGAAAGGGCUUGCACAGUGUUAUCUUUUGGAAAGAUGAGAAAAAGACAGAAGAGAAGAGACUUGCCAAAUGAAAGUGUGUUUGAGAGGGUGCGGGGUUGAGCAGAAGACGACACAUCCACGUCCUUGGCGGAUUGGCAAAAAGAGAAAAAGGAGAACAGAAAAAUAGUAAAAGAGAUGAGUAUAAGGGAGAAGGAAUGAGAGAAGACAUACUGAAUUUAUGUCAGUAAAAUGGCACUGAGGGGACAAAAAUGAAAGGAAAUGAUGAUUAAAGAUGAGUAGUUGGACUAUAGUGUUGAUAUUGUUGUGUUAGGCAUCUUUUUAGUGUAGUAGAAAACGCCUCCUCUUCUUAACUCAGUUAAUGAUGAAGUGCAGCCAAAGUUGGACUAACAAAGUAUCAAGUAAAGGCUGUAUACUUACAUAAAUUUGAUUUCUCGGUUUUCAAUUUUCAAUAAAUUUGCAAAACACUCCAAGCUUUUUUAACAUAUAUGUCUGUAGAAUUUUGAGGAAAGAGAUUCAUUUAGAACUAUUUGAAAGAAGGGUGUACCAUAUCAAAAUGUGAAAAAAAAAUUAAGCGCUGCGAAUACGUUUUGAAUGCCUCGUGCCUGAGGACAUUUCAGAGUGAACAGGAAACCUAACAGACAUGCUUGUUUUUACUGUGAGAAGAAUUUGAAGUGCCUGAAGUUCUCCCUGUACAUGCCUGGAGAGAGGCAUGUACGGUUCUCCCUGUUCUGUUUGCACAUACAGGGAGAACAUGCAAAUUUAAUGCCCAUGUCAGGGGCCCAGGGUCUUCUUGCUACAAGAAAACAUCUGAAAUGUAAAUACAACAACUUUUUCCCCCAAAAAAUUGAUACGUCUUUUACACUCAGAGAUGCUUGUUUUGAACUUAUUUGUUCAAAAAUUUCUGGUAAAUUUUGAGUUCAAUUCUAUUUGUCAAUUUGGAUGUAAAACAGUUUUAAAUUAUUUUAGUAAUAUUUUUUUCCAUCUCAAAAACCCAGGAUUUUAACUGGAGCGUUUCAACGUUUUACAUCGAAUGUAUAUUAAUUGCAUCUGCCUAAAUGGAACAGCAUGAUACUGAUAAUUUUUCCAGAAAUAUUUAAGAGGAGAGGUUGGAGAUGCUCCAUCAUAAAUAAGCAAGUCUGUCUGUCUUUGACCUUUUGUUGUUUGGAGCUAAAGCAUAGUUCAAACAACAACGGGAAUAAAUGGAACUUAAUUCUUUUUGUUUUGAGCAACAAAUUGACAAACUUCGAGGUGAAAUACUUGAAAAGAGGUAAAAUUUCUGAGGAACAACUUAACUGGAGUGAUUGUCCCACUUUUGUCAGUUUUAGUUAUAGGUAAAAAAUGGAAAAUAAAAAAAAGAAAGAGAUGGAAAAUGUGUUGGAGUCUGUUGAGAGAGGGAAAUAAAACGAUUAGCUAAGGUGGGUAGACAGGGUUGGUCAAAUAAUUGAUGGCCAUGGUUGUAGCUGCUGCGGUAAUAUUACAGAUGCACGAGCAUGCAAAGGUCACUCAGCAUAUUGAAUAUGUAAUUAUUUCUUUUGCUGUCUUUAUGCCAGCCAUCGUUUUCCAUGUUUUACUCAUUGUCUUGGUCUGUUUAUGUGCUCCGAUUUUCAGGAUCUGGGUGAGUGUUUGGGCUUUUGUGUUCCUGUUUGAACACAAAAUCAUGAGAAGAGGGUCUCUGCUGGAGGGCACGACUCUCUUGUUUACCACACACCAGGUUACCAUCAGGUCAUCUGGAUGCUGGUGAUAUAAUGAGCAGUUGAAGGACCUCUCUUUCUCUGAUGCUAUUCCGGUACCUUCCAGGUUGAAGCUGUCACAGGUGACCUCGUUUUUGUCAAAGACUGAAGAUUCCAACGCAAACCUCCUCCUUUGGUUUCUCAGUUCGUGGAUGCUUUGGCUGCUUCAUCACUUUUCACCUCUGUCUGCCUGCCCAUUCUCCAACAUCCUCUGCUCAGACCCUGCUGGACUUCUCGCUCAGGUUCCAAUGGCAAAUUAUGACAAGAUCCAUUUCCAGACACCAACAUCUUUCACCCACGGCCUGGAUCUCCAAGCCUCCCUGGCAUCUGUUUUUCAUCCUGGAACUGUAAGAUCUCCUCUCAACACCUUGCAUGAUUCAACCAACUUGUGCUCCCCCUUCUAACCAUUGCCUCUCCUUUCUGGACACCAUAGAAACUUGAAAUCCUGACACAAUUUUUUGUGUGUCUGCCUGUGACAGAGGAGCCGUCACAAGCCGGGACUCAAUUACGAGUCCGUGUCAACAGGCGAGCACGCCCGCACACAUACAAACGUACACAAUCGCUAACUUACUUCUGUUGCAGCUUAAACUGACGUGGUUCAUCGUGGGUGCACACGCGGUGUUCCUGCUUCGGUUAGCAUAUCCAUAUUAACCUGUUAUUUUCAGCUCCAAACAUUUUCCCGGUUCUGUUUCAAGCAGGGUUAUUUCCGGAUUGUGGCGCGCCAGGAGAGAGUCAGGUGAUGAUGUAGUCAUCAGAACGCACUGAGUGUUUUCUAUUAAAUUAAGUAUUGUAUUUUUGAUUACAAGUUUAUUUUUUUUCUCAUUAUUAUUAUUAUUAUUAUUACGUAUCCUUUAUGAGUUCAUUUCAGUUAGAAGUAAUUGUUUUACUUGUUUGGUCUUUCUGUGKGCGGAGCCUGUGGCUUUAAAAGCAGGGCUCUGUUCCACAGCAAGGCAGUUUGUGGCUUAACUCCUGAGAAGUAACAUGGAAGGUGAUGGACUUUUACAUGGAAGGUACUGCUGUUUGUUUUUAAACCUGCUUUGGACGUCCUUUUAUAUAUUUUGCACCUGCCGUCUUUGUUCACUUGAAGAAGAGCUAAAUAAAUUUCACUAAAGUGAUCUCUGGCCUUGGGCAGUAAUUUUUUGUUUGUCCAAGUCAUAAGAGAACCCCGUCACACUGCCAUUUAUAAAACAUACAUUUUCAAAUUCUUUUGACCCACAUGAUUCUCCACAAGGGCCAGAAAACUUUAACAUCCACAGCCAAAUAGAGACAGAAAAAACACUCCCAGCUUGUGAGAAUGAUAUAUUUUUAAGAACUAUAAAAAGUGGGUCAGGGCAAGGAUUUAUUGUCGUCUGAGAAUUUAUAUUUAUGGAGCUGUAAAUUAAAAUGAAUUUUAUGACACUG